GAUGAACGCUGGCGGCGUGCCUAAUACAUGCAAGUCGAGCGAAUGGAUUAAGAGCUUGCUCUUAUGAAGUUAGCGGCGGACGGGUGAGUAACACGUGGGUAACCUGCCCAUAAGACUGGGAUAACUCCGGGAAACCGGGGCUAAUACCGGAUAACAUUUUGAACCGCAUGGUUCGAAAUUGAAAGGCGGCUUCGGCUGUCACUUAUGGAUGGACCCGGGUCGCAUUAGCUAGUUGGUGAGGUAACGGCUCACCAAGGCAACGAUGCGUAGCCGCCCUGGGAGGGUGAUCGGACACACUGGGACUGAGACACGGCCCAGACUCCUACGGGAGGCAGCAGUAGGGAAUCUUCCGCAAUGGACGAAAGUCUGACGGAGCAACGCCGCGUGAGUGAUGAAGGCUUUCGGGUCGUAAAACUCUGUUGUUAGGGAAGAACAAGUGCUAGUCGAAUAAGCUGGCACCUUGACGGUACCUAACCAGAAAGCCACGGCUAACUACGUGCCAGCAGCCGCAGUAA
rnacentral:rRNA from 1 species